GAGAAGGGGGGGGGGGGAAGAAAUUGGCUGCCAAUAUUGAACAAACUAACAGGUGGAACAUUUGUAAAUCUACAACAGUUUGAUUGCAAGUAUUUAGUAAAUGUAGCUGUGAGAAGUAGAGCUCAUGUCAGAAAGUAUGGAGGAAACAGAUAAAAUCAUCAAAGAUGCCCUAACAACAAGACAGAAACAUAUAUAUAGGGAUG